GAUGAACGCUGGCGGCGUGCCUAAUACAUGCAAGUCGAGCGAACAGACGAGGAGCUUGCUCCUCUGACGUUAGCGGCGGACGGGUGAGUAACACGUGGAUACCCUCCCUAUAAUACUGGGAAAAUUUCGGGAAACCGGAGCUAAUACCGGAUAAUAUAUUGAAUCACAUGGUUUAUUAGUGAAAGACGGUUUUGCUGUCACUUAUAGAUGGUUCUGCGCCGCAUGAUCUAGUUGGUAAGGAACCGGGUUACCAAGGCAACGAUGCGUAGCCGACCUGAGAGGGUGGUCGGCCACACGGGAACUGAGACACGGUCCAGACUCCUACGGGAGGCAGCAGUAGGGAAUCUUCCGCAAUGGGCGAAAGCCUGACGGAGCAACGCCGCGGGAGUGAUGAAGGUGUUCGGAUCGGAAAACUCUGUUAUUAGGGAAGAACAAAUGUGUAAGUAACUAUGCACGUCUUGACGGUACCUAAUCAAAAAGCCACGGCUAACUACGUG
rnacentral:rRNA from 1 species